GCCUGGCUGGCUUAGUCGGAGGAGCGUGAGACUCUUGAUCUUGGGGUUGUGGGUUUGAGCCCCAGGUCAGGUG
rnacentral:tRNA from 1 species